UUGGGCCUGCUUUUCCUGAGCCAGUGUCCAUCACCCAGGUGCUCAGUCCGUGGUGCACUGAAGCUCCAGCCCUUCCUGGCACCCUGGUCUCCUGCACUGAGCUGUGUGAGCUCUUCUGCCAAGGGGUUCCCCUGGCAUUGACCAACAUAGAUGGUGAGCCUGGAGGAAGACUUGCAUUGGGCCCA